GGUUAGGUCCUGCGCAAGAGAGCGUCGCGAACCCCGUCAGGUCCGGAAGGAAGCAGCGGUACCGACUGUCUCUCUGUGCCGCAGGGUACCCUAGCCGCC
rnacentral:SRP_RNA from 1 species